rnacentral:lncRNA from 1 species
CAACAUUUUAACUCAAGACUGGUAAGGAUUUUGCUUAACAGAAACACUCACUCAGCCAUUACUUCCUAAUACAAGAGGACCCCAGGCCAGUACUUCAAAAGAGGAAUGCUUUUCUCCAAAGCAAGACUUCUGCAAAGAUCAAAAUACCUUUAAACUAAACUCAGGCUUUAUUACAACGUAAAUCAUGAUAAUUCACUUUUUAAGCAGCAAAAAGAAAAUCAAACCAUAUCAGAGGAGAAAGAAAAAAAGAUGGGCUCCCAGCCAGCACUGGGCUACUUACCUAGUCCAUGACAUGGCGGUGCCUCCAUGCUCAGGGCAGCACUAAACACCCACAGAAGCUUCAGCUUGCUCAUGCAUCACCCCCAAAACAGUCCCUUCCCCAGGACGCUCUUUAAAAGCAAUAGCACACAGCUGGCAAGAGGCAGAAGUACUCACAAGUCCCAGAUGGGACAGCUGCCUUUAUCAAAGUUAGUCAUUGGUGACUUCUCUAUAGCUAAAGGACACUUUAUGGGCUUGAAGAAAGUUAAAAAAUAACUCAGAAACUUUUAUUGAAACAAUGUCUUGGCAGUUCCCAUGUUCUAUUUAAGCGGGAAGAGGGCCCCAGGGCAGGAAAAGCUGUUUGGAGGCUGGCACGUGAGUCAAAGGCAUUCUCCAAGCUGCAGCAGGCUGUUCAGUAGCUGCAACUGGCAGAUGAAAGCCUUCAUCUAUUCUGCAGAUAUUCAAAGGAAGGCUCGUGCUUUCAGGGGGAAGCUGUUGAUCCUCAAGAGAAGGACAGCAUUGCCAAGCAGGAUAUGGUGUUGCAUUGGGAGUUACAAAUGUUGCUGUCUCAGACUCAGAACAGAGCCUGAAGGAAAGUUAAAAAUUCAGUAAUUCCAAGAAACGAGGGGGAUGUUGCACUGUCACAGCAAGCCCUGCAGAUCCAUGCAGGUCUCCAGCCCACCAGUCCCUUCUUACCUUCAGCCACCAGAACUCAGGCUUACACACUGCAAUUUAUAUUGAUUUUUCUCACCCUGAACUGUUGCUAAUGAAAGGGGCUGGAAAACCUGGGCCACCCAAGGAUUCUGUGUCCAAGAUCAAAGUUCAGCAUUCAGUUGCAGAUGAGCAGACAGCUGGGGGUCUCCACACCAUUCACCUGUCCUUUGCAUCCACAGCAAAUUUAUCAGCAACUCAGGCCCUUGACUUGGUAUCAUCUCUUGCAAGCAAAGGAAAGAUCUCUUUGAAGUAGUCAUUUCUUUUUCUCCCCUCUAAAAAGCAAACUUACUUUUCCAGAAAUAGAACAUUGCCCUCUGUAAACUUUUUGUUUGUUUGUUUUGCUCUUUGCUUCUUUUUCUUUCUUUCUCAUGAGUUUGGGACAAAUUUUUACAGUUGUCCUCAGAUUUGAAACAGCUGUUGCCACACUGUGCUUUUUGUCAUCUUUCAGAGGUUGUUGGAACAUUAUUUUUACAUAAAUAUUUACUAAAUUUAAUGGUGGUUUAAAAGAGAAAAGGAUGCUUGCUGAGUAUUUCUAUUUUUCUCCUUCUCAUAUCUAUCUGGUGCUUGCCCAACCAACACUUUCCCAAAGCAUGAGAAUUGGUCCCUGUGAUGAAUCACCCUGUCUAACAAGGCUCAAAAGUCCUUCUAUGCCAUUAAAUCAGCCUGAUGAUCCAGAUUUCCUGAUAUAUUGUUCUGUGCUUCAGCUGAAAAUAGGUGAAGUCAAUAAAGUUAACCCAGACCUCCUGCA